rnacentral:misc_RNA from 1 species
GAUGAAGAACGCAGUGAAAUGCGAUAAUUAAUGUGAAUUGCAGAAUUCAGUGAGUCAUCGAGUCUUUGAACGCACAUUGCGCCCCCUGGUAUUCCGGGGGGCAUGCCUGUCCGAGCGUCAUUGCUGCCCUCAAGCACGGCUUGUGUGUUGGGCUUCCGUCCCUGGCAACGGGGACGGGCCCAAAAGGCAGUGGCGGCACCAUGUCUGGUCCUCGAGCGUAUGGGGCUUUGUCACCCGCUCCCGUAGGUCCAGCUGGCAGCUAGCCUCGCAACCAAUCUUUUUAACCAGGUUGACCUCGGAUCAGGUAGGGAUACCCGCUGAACUUAAGCAUAUCAAUAAGCGGAGGA